GGAAGGGAGGAAGCGUAGAAGGUGCCGAUGCACUUUUCCUCUCUCCAGCCCUCCUGACUGCUCCAAGAAUUUCAUCGAACAAGACUCAAAGAGGCCCAGCUGCUCUGCGUUUUGAUUCUUCUCCCUCUCUCAGUCCACACUGACCUGGGAGGGGCUUCUCAAACACCACAUUUCCUAGCGUGCUGUGAGAAGAGGACUGUGAGCUAAGAAGGGAGAAAAGGCACUCCCUCCUCAUCAACAAACACCUGACCUGGGUAGACCCUCUGCUUACCAAGAUCCAGUCCACCUUUUGACAUCAGCAUUCAUGCUGCCUCUUUUUACGAACCAAGCCAAAGUGGUCCCUUCCUCUGGAAAUUAUAGGAUACUUAAUGUACAUCAUAUCCAGGUAUGAUACUAGAACUUUAAGCCUGGUAAGUUAGUUACAUUUUAUAAAAGCAUCUUAUCCUAAGAUUAUAAAUUGAUGACAAGCAAGAACUGAUAGUACCCAGCAUGUGUGAUAUCCGUAAGUUUGAUGAACUGAUGAAUGGAUUACAUGACAAUAAUCUGUCCAUCAUGGAUAGAAAAAGAACACUACUAUUCUCAUAUCUGCUGUACCCAUAUUCAUCUUCAUAAAAAAUGUUUCAAGUUUUACAAUGGAGAAAUAAAGGUGUUUCCAUCCACUUCCCUCUAAAAUUACCCCCAAACAGGAUAAAAAAACAAAAACACAAACUCCAUCUUCCAUGAAACAA
rnacentral:lncRNA from 10 species